UGGGGAAUAUUGGACAAUGGGCGAAAGCCUGAUCCAGCCAUGCCGCGUGUGUGAAGAAGGUCUUCGGAUUGUAAAGCACUUUAAGUUGGGAGGAAGGGUUGUAGAUUAAUACUCUGCAAUUUUGACGUUACCGACAGAAUAAGCACCGGCUAACUCUGUGCCAGCAGCCGCGGUAAUACAGAGGGUGCAAACGUUAAUCGGAAUUACUGGGCGUAAAGCGCGCGUAGGUGGUUAGUUAAGUUGGAUGUGAAAUCCCCGGGCUCAACCUGGGAACUGCAUUCAAAACUGACUGACUAGAGUAUGGUAGAGGGUGGUGGAAUUUCCUGUGUAGCGGUGAAAUGCGUAGAUAUAGGAAGGAACACCAGUGGCGAAGGCGACCACCUGGACUGAUACUGACACUGAGGUGCGAAAGCGUGGGGAGCAAACA
rnacentral:rRNA from 1 species